GAAAGUAAAUCAGAGAUUCGGAAUGAAGUGGCUCGUCCAAUGGCGAAAUAAACGCACACACUUCAACGUCGUCUUGCAGGGUAAUUAAACCAACAUAAUCUCCUUUAGAAUUUCCUAUUGAGAUUUCACUUGGAUCGACAAGAAUCUGAAUUGGUGGAUGCAGGUAUUAAGUAGAGAACUAAGACUUGGAUCAAUUGAAUCAAUAUCCGGUCGGUCCGUUUCACCAUUUGAACUCAACGAAGGAUCUUGAAAAGUAGCAAAUUGUUGAUGGCGGAAAUCUGAAAUAAAAACAGAAAGUGCUGGAAUAGCCCUGUUUAUGUGUAAGGCAUGAUACGAACAUACAAUAAAUCACACUGCAAGCCAAAAGUUGCUCCAUGAAACAACUUAUUCGUCUCUUAUUUUUGGUUUCUUGUCCCAAACCUCUAAUUUUCAGUUUUGUAAUGUUUUUGAAUUAAAGUUAUCUUCCAUUUUUUACCCAGUAUCUUUAUCUUUGUUGGUGUGAGAACAUUUGUCAUGUGCCCUAUGCAUAUGGCCUCAACACAUUACCAGAUGGAUGCAAAUCCACUUUUCUCCAGAAAAAUAGCAGGAUAAAGCCUGUAAUUACAGACCUGAGCGCCUUGCAUUGGUAGUAGGGCUGUUAUUGAAAAAUAAUAGAGGGUGAUGGUAGAAGGCUUAUUUUAUAAUUGGAUUCCUGUGAUUAAUAUUGUGCUACAGUGGUCAGUGCUGGGAGCCUUGCUGCUUGCAAUAUACGUGAAUGAUUUGAAUAUGGAUAUAGUUGGCAGAUAGCACCAAGACUGCUG